ensembl:snoRNA SNORD79 Small nucleolar RNA SNORD79
CCCUGUUCUUAUGUGACGGCUUUUCAAGUUCACACAGAUGGGAAUCACUCUGAAAGAGAAUGAAGAUCAACUUUAAACUGAAACAGUA